rnacentral:rRNA from 1 species
GUGUCAGCAGCCGCGGUAAUACGGAGGAUCCUAGCGUUGUCCGGAUUUAUUGGGUUUAAAGGGUGCGUAGGCGGAAUAUUAAGUCAGGGGUGAAAGCCGGUCGCUUAACGAUCGAAUUGCCUUUGAAACUGGUAUUCUUGAAUUUGAUUGAGGUAGGCGGAAUGUGUCAUGUAGCGGUGAAAUGCAUAGAUAUGAUACAGAACACCGAUUGCGAAGGCAGCUUACUAAGUCAACAUUGACGCUGAGGCACGAAAGCGUGGGGAGCAAACAGGAUUAGAUACCCUGGUAGUCC